rnacentral:rRNA from 1 species
CCUACGGGUGGCAGCAGUGAGGAAUAUUGGUCAAUGGACGCGAGCCUGAACCAGCCAAGUAGCGUGAAGGAUGACUGCCCUACGGGUUGUAAACUUCUUUUAUAAGGGAAUAAAGUGAGACACGUGUGCCUGUUUGUAUGUACUUUAUGAAUAAGGAUCGGCUAACUCCGUGCCAGCAGCCGCGGUAAUACGGAGGAUCCAAGCGUUAUCCGGAUUUAUUGGGUUUAAAGGGAGCGUAGAUGGUUGGUUAAGUCAGUGGUGAAAGUUUGCGGCUCAACCGUAAAAUUGCAAUUGAUACUGGCAGGCUAGAGUGCAGUUGCGGUAGGCGGAAUGCAUGGUGUAGCGGUGAAAUGCUUAGAGAUCACGCAGAACUCCGAUUGCGAAGGCAGCCUACUAAACUGCCACUGACAUUGAUGCUCGAAAGUGUGGGUAUCAAACAGGAUUAGAUACCCUAGUAGUC